CAUCUGGUGUUUUUCAACACCACCCAUUUUUAUAAGAAAGAGCUAU
rfam:Saprolegnia parasitica CBS 223.65 unplaced genomic scaffold supercont2.655, whole genome shotgun sequence.